GGAGCUAGCAAAGGAAGAAGUAAAAAGCCCAGGCACCAGCACCAACAACUCCCGUUUCAACUCCUUGGAAACGAUGACAAGGCAAGAGGUGUGCUGGAGUCAGAGCAGCUGCAACCUGUUCCAUAAUCAAGACGUCUACAAAUACUCAGCCCUGCCACUUCCACUCUGCCAGAUGUUCCGCCCGCUCUGACUCUGGUCCCUGUCUCCAGUUCCACGUCUCGUCAUCCUGCUACCCUGUCCUGGAUUCCCCACUCUACUACUCCCUUGGAUUCCUCUGGACCUGCUUACCCUGUCCCAACCCCUCUCGCCUCAGCCUACACACCUGGUUCCCUGCAACCCACCCGAGCUUCCCCUGUCCUGCACUCCAUCUUCCCCAUGUGUUUCAAUAAAUACCUUGGUUACUUCA